CCUUCGGGGUGUAAACCUCUUUCAGUAGGGAAGAAGCGCAAGUGACGGUACCUGCAGAAGAAGCGCCGGCUAACUACGUGCCAGCAGCCGCGGUAAUACGUAGGGCGCAAGCGUUGUCCGGAAUUAUUGGGCGUAAAGAGCUCGUAGGCGGUUUGUCGCGUCCGCUGUGAAAGCCCGGGGCUCAACCCCGGGUCGGCAGUGGGUACGGGCAGACUAGAGUGCAGUAGGGGAGACUGGAAUUCCUGGUGUAGCGGUGAAAUGCGCAGAUAUCAGGAGGAACACCGAUGGCGAAGGCAGGUCUCUGGGCUGUUACUGACGCUGAGGAGCGAAAGCAUGGGGAGCGAACAGGAUUAGAUACCCUGGUAGUCCAUGCCGUAAACGUUGGGCACUAGGUGUGGGGGACAUUCCACGUCCUCCGCGCCGUAGCUAACGCAUUAAGUGCCCCGCCUGGGGAGUACGGCCGCAAGGCUAAAACUCAAAGGAAUUGACGGGGGCCCGCACAAGCGGCGGAGCAUGCGGAUUAAUUCGAUGCAACGCGAAGAACCUUACCAAGGCUUGACAUCCACCGGACCGCACUGGAGACAGUGCUUCCCUUCGGGGCCGGUGGACAGGUGGUGCAUGGUUGUCGUCAGCUCGUGUCGUGAGAUGUUGGGUUAAGUCCCGCAACGAGCGCAACCCUCGUUCUAUGUUGCCAGCACGUGAUGGUGGGGACUCAUAGGAGACUGCCGGGGUCAACUCGGAGGAAGGUGGGGAUGACGUCAAAUCAUCAUGCCCCUUAUGUCUUGGGCUUCACGCAUGCUACAAUGGCCGGUACAAAGGGUUGCGAUACUGUGAGGUGGAGCUAAUCCCAAAAAGCCGGUCUCAGUUCGGAUUGAGGUCUGCAACUCGACCUCAUGAAGUCGGAGUCGCUAGUAAUCGCAGAUCAGCAACGCUGCGGUGAAUACGUUCCCGGGCCUUGUACACACCGCCCGUCAAGUCACGAAAGUUGGUAACACCCGAAGCCGGUGGCCUAACCCCUUGUGGGAGGAGCCU
rnacentral:rRNA from 1 species